rnacentral:lncRNA from 1 species
AGUAAAUAUCAUUGUAAUCUGAUGUGAUGCUGUUAUUUGAACAAGAGCUGAGAUACAUGAUGAUUAUGUAUUUCUCAGUUUAACACUUGAGUGUGUGACCUUGAUGAGUUAAAAAUUAAAUGUGAACUUAGUGUGUUAUUUUUAAAAUAAUGAAUUGAUUUUGAUAAAAAAUAGAUUAAAUGUAAAGUGGUGUCUAAGGUGACGGCCUUGUUUGAUAGUAGGAUUUCAAUGUUUAUAUGAAUGUUAAUCACCAUGCACCAUCAACAUCUAUGUCAUGCCUUUGUGCUCUCAAUCCUUCAACAUCUAUGUCAUGCCUUUGUGCUCUCAAUCCUUCAGCUCUCCGAAAAAGCUUUAACUGCAGUUGCUGAGUAAAUAUCAUUGUAAUCUGAUGUGAUGCUGUUAUUUGAACAAGAGCUGAGAUACAUGAUGAUUAUGUAUUUCUCAGUUUAACACUUGAGUGUGUGACCUUGAUGAGUUAAAACAUUAAAUGUGGAACUUAGUGUGUUAUUUUUUAAAAUAAUGAAUUGAUUUUGAUAAAAAAUAGAUUAAAUGUAAAGUGGUGUCUAAGGUGAGC